AGUCAACACAACCAAAACUCAUAUAUGCUAGUGGUGAAUCUGGGGCAUAAUGUUGAAUUUCUGAACCUGUAAUAACUUCUGGUGCAAAGGAUUGUCAUGAAAACAGGAUUAUAACCUUAGUGAAUAAUUAAAAUAUGAAGACAAUUUAUAACACAGCCUGAAGUAACAAGACACUGUCAGGGUGUGAGAGGAAAACUGCAUUUGGCUGCCAAGAACUUACCUGAAAACAUCUGUGAAAGUCCCUAGCUCCAGACUGCCAGCGGAGAGACAAGAUGGCAGCUUCUUCCUUCAUGAACAACCUUCCGUUUUCAUUAUGCUUCACAAUUGACAAAUCAUUUGUGAUUUGCACACGCGUCUACCACUUUUCUAAUACGUUUUUAAACAAACUUAGGUUUUCCUUCAGAUGAACCAUCCCCAACAAAACCUCAGUAAGGAGUAAAUUCAUCCCUCAGCCAGGGGUUAGCACAAAACCUGCACACCUCUUAAAGCCUGAGUCUUUACAUGAGACCUGAAGUUAUGCAUAAACCUUGUGCUGGGUCUUUCCACAGGCAUGAAUUCCAUCCUGCUCUCUGUACAUGAUUGCAGCAAGGUCAUUUUCCAGCACACACAGCCCUUUGAUAGAGGAUACACACACACACAAACACACACACACACACACUUGGUAGAACCCUCCCAUUUCCCAGGAGCUGGAAUACCUAACUCCUCCCACACCCCAGAGAUAAAAUAUAAUAAAACUAUUUUCCCCAAAAUCCAAAAAUUUAUAUUAAAAAAAGGUAAAGAGAAUUUCACUGACUUCUUUCACACACAGUUGUGAUGCAGGACCUGUAGUCCUCAUGGCUGUGGACCUCCUGGCUCUAGAGGGUCUGGGCAGCAGGCUGGGUGGCAGGCCCUAAGUGAAAACAGUUAACCAGUUAACCCUUUUAACUCCUCUAAGUGCAACCCAGAAAGAGUUUGUUCUUGUUUGAGAUAAUGUGUCUUUAGUACAACCCCUAGUCUCGGUGAAGAGGAUCAGAGCAGAAUUCCUGCGAAAGAUGAAUUGUUGCCUAAAGAGGUUCCUGAGCCGAAGAAUUCUCAGGUUUUUGUCUCUUUUCUACACUGAUGCUGUGCUUGCACGUGGGGAAGCAUUGUCUCUCGGAAGUGCCCAGAAGUGGUGUGUGAAUUUGCCAGGUUACUGGGCGGGAGCUUGAGUCACUUCUGUGUUGGAUGGAUGGAGAGGAACCCCUAGAUACUG